rnacentral:rRNA from 1 species
UACGUAGGUGACAAGCGUUAUCCGGAAUUACUGGGCGUAAAGCGCACGCAGGCGGCGCAUUAAGUCUGACGUGAAAUCUCCUGGCUUAACUGGGAGGGGUCGUUGGAGACUGGUGUGCUUGAGGCGAUGAGAGGGGUGUAGAAUUCCCGGUGUAGUGGUGGAAUGCGUAGAUAUCGGGAGGAAUACCAGUGGCGAAGGCGGCAUCCUGGACCGGUAUUGACGCUGAGGCGCGAAAGCCAGGGGAGCAAACGGG